rnacentral:rRNA from 1 species
AUGAACGCUAGCGGCAGGCUUAAUACAUGCAAGUCGAGGGGCAGCGGGGUAGCAAUACCGCCGGCGACCGGCAAACGGGUGCGGAACACGUACAGAACCUUCCUUUAAGCGGGGGGAUAGCCCAUAGAAAUAGUGGAUUAAUACCCACUAGUAAUAUUUGGUGGCAUCAUUAGAUAUUUAAAGUAAUUUAUUCACUUAAAGAUGGCUGUGCGGCUGAUUAGGUAGUUGGUGCGGGUAACGGCCCACCAAGCCAUCGAUCAGUAACUGGUGUGAGAGCACGACCAGUCACACGGGCGACUGAGACACGGGCCCGGACUCCUACGGGAGGCAGCAGUAAGGAAUAUUGGUCAAUGGACGCAAGUCUGAACCAGCCAUGCCGCGUGAAGGAUGAA